rnacentral:rRNA from 1 species
UACAGAGGUCUCGAGCGUUGUUCGGAUUCAUUGGGCGUAAAGGGUGCGUAGGUGGCGCCGUAAGUCGGGUGUGAAAUUUCGGAGCUUAACUCCGAGACUGCAUUCGAUACUGCGGUGCUUGAGGACUGGAGAGGAGACUGGAAUUCAUGGUGUAGCAGUGAAAUGCGUAGAGAUCAUGAGGAAGACCAGUGGCGAAGGCGGGUCUCUGGACAGUUCCUGACACUGAGGCACGAAGGCCAGGGGAGCAAACGGG